rnacentral:rRNA from 1 species
UCCUACGGGGCGCAGCAGUGAGGAAUAUUGGUCAAUGGCCGCAGGGCUGAACCAGCCAAGUCGCGUGAGGGAUGACGGUCCUAUGGAUUGUAAACCUCUUUUGUCAGGGAGCAAAGGGCGCCACGUGUGGCGCUUUGCGAGUACCUGAAGAAAAAGCAUCGGCUAACUACGUGCCAGCAGCCGCGGUAAUACGUAGGUGGCAAGCGUUGUCCGGAAUUACUGGGUGUAAAGGGAGCGCAGGCGGGAAGCCAAGUCAGCUGUGAAAACUACGGGCUUAACUUGUAGACUGCAGUUGAAACUGGUUU